rnacentral:rRNA from 1 species
UACGGGGGGGGCAAGCGUUGUUCGGAAUUACUGGGCGUAAAGGGUUUGUAGGUGGCCCGCUAAGUCACACGUGAAAUCCCUCAGCUUAACUGGGGAACUGCGUGUGAGACUGGCAGGCUCGAGGGCAGGAGAGGAACGCGGAAUUCCAGGUGUAGCGGUGAAAUGCGUAGAUAUCUGGAGGAACACCGGUGGCGAAGGCGGGUCUCUGGGCAGUAACUGACGCUGAGGAGCGAAAGCGUGGGGAGCGAACAGG